GACGAACGCUGGCGGCGUGCCUAACACAUGCAAGUCGAACGGACCGAAUUAGAGCUUGCUCUGAAGAGGUUAGUGGCGGACGGGUGAGUAACGCGUGAGUAACCUGCCUAUAAGAGGGGGAUAACAGUUAGAAAUGACUGCUAAUACCGCAUAAGCGCACAGUGCUGCAUGGCACAGUGUGAAAAACUCCGGUGGUAUGAGAUGGACCCGCGUCUGAUUAGCUAGUUGGUGGGGUAACGGCCUACCAAGGCGACGAUCAGUAGCCGGCCUGAGAGGGUGAACGGCCACAUUGGGACUGAGACACGGCCCAA
rnacentral:rRNA from 1 species